CAUGCUAAAACUAAGGUAAACACCAAGCUAAAACUAAAUUGAAAACCAUGCUAAACGUGAGGUGAACACCAUGCUAAAAGUGAGGUGAACACCAUGCUAAAAGUGAGGUGGACACCAUGCUAAAACUAAAGUGAACACCAUGCUAAAACUAAGGUGAACACCAUGCUAAAACUAAAGUGAACACCCUGCUAAAACUAAAGUGAACACCAUGCUAAAACUAAAGUGAACACCAUGCUAAAAGUGAGGUGAACACCAUGCUAAAAGUGAGGUGGACACCAUGCUAAAACUAAAGUGAACACCAUGCUAAAACUAAAGUGAACACCAUGCUAAAACUGAGGUGAUUUUACUGUAUAACAAUAGUUAUCAUAAGUAACUAUAGCAUUCAAUGGCACAAUCACGGUUUACCAUACACUUUAGCAAAACCAUGGCAG